rnacentral:rRNA from 1 species
GACAGAGGGGGCAAGCGUUGCUCGGAAUUACUGGGCGUAAAGGGCGCGUAGGCGGAAUGGCAAGUCGGUCGUGAAAUCCUUCGGCUCAACCGAAGAACGUCGAUCGAAACUGCCGUUCUUGAGGAUUGCAGAGGAGACUGGAAUUCCCGGUGUAGCGGUGAAAUGUGUAGAGAUCGGGAGGAACGACCGGUGGCGAAGGCGGGUCUCUGGGCAUGUCCUGGACGCUGAGGAGCGAAAGUCGUGGGGAGCGAACAGG